GUCUUCUCGUUUGUUGUGGGAGGUUGGGCCUGCCCGGUGAAUUGUUUUAACGGCCGCGGUAUUUUGACCGUGCAAAGGUAGCAUAAUCAUUAGUCUUUUAAUAGGGGACUGGAAUGAAGGGUUUGACGAAAUAAUGACUGUCUCAUUAAAAUUAAUUGAAUUUGACUUUUAAGUUAAAAGGCUUAAAUUUUGUUGGAAGACGAGAAGACCCUAUAGAGCUUUAUUUGUGGUUAUAUAAUCUUUAUUGUCUAUUUUCUUGUUUUAUGAUCACGUAUUUUGUUGGGGCGACAAGGAAAUAUGUAAAACUUUCAUUAUUUAUAUUACAUUUAUUUAUGAUUAUAUGAUCCGUUAUUAUCGAUUAUUAGAAUAAGUUACCUUAGGGAUAACAGCGUAAUCUUCUUUAGGAGUUCAAAUUUGCAAGAAGGCUUGCGACCUCGAUGUUGGAUUAAGAUAAUAGUUAGGUGCAGUAGCUUAAUUAAUAGGUCUGUUCGACCUUUAAAUUCUUACAUGAUCUGAGUUCAGACCGG
rnacentral:rRNA from 1 species